rnacentral:rRNA from 1 species
CAUGGCUCAGAGUGAACGCUGGCGGCGUGCCUAACACAUGCAAGUCGAACGAUGAUGGAGAGCUUGCUCUCCUGAUUAGUGGCGCACGGGUGAGUAAUGCAUAGAUAAUGUGCCCCUUAGUUCGGGAUAGCCACUGGAAACGGUGAUUAAUACCGGAUACUCCUUCUUACUAUAAGGUAAGUCGGGAAAGUUUUUCGCUAAGGGAUCAGUCUAUGUUCCAUCAGGUAGUUGGUGAGGUAAUGGCUCACCAAGCCUAUGGCGGAUAUCUGGUUUGAGAGGAUGAUCAGACACACUGGAACUGAGACACGGUCCAGACUCCUACGGGAGGCAGCAGUGAGGAAUAUUGCACAAUGGAGGAAACUCUGAUGCAGCAACGCCGCGUGGAGGAUGACGCAUUUCGGAGUGUAAACUCC